AUGGCAAAAAGACAGAAAAAAAAGAAUUAUUUCUAGUGUUUAGCACAGUGUCUGGCAUAGUGGGUAUAUGGGUCUGAUUCCUGUUAUAAAACUGAGCAUAUCUUCAACCGCAGACCUAACACAGCGCUUCAGAAAGUCAAACAGACCCUAGUGCAGGACUGCUUUCCAUCCUUCUACCCUCCUUCUCCUCUAGAGUCAAAUACUUGGCUUGACAGUGCAGAGAAACUAUGACCAAAGACUUUGUCUUAAACGGACAAAUUCAGAAGGAGGAGGAAAUGGAUACCAUACCUUUGAAAGCAGAUUUGUUUCACUGCCUCUUAGCAACCCAGCUAUAGAACUAUUCAUGGGGGUAAACAAACAAACACCAGAUGCAAAAUCAAAUACAUUCAUCAGCAGACAGAAAACGUAGAAGUGUUAGAGCAGUUGUGAAACUCUGAUUGGAAAAAGAUCAUCAUAAAAAAUUAGGUCGCUGAUACACAGUGAAAGUAUUCUGACUUUCUUCUGCCUUAGCCACCUAAGAGCAAAACAGCCAAUUCUUCAUGCAAAGUGUUAGCAUUGGCCCUUAUUUCCACCCACACAUUUCCAGGUGUAACCACUUCCCCUGUCUAAACUCUGCCUUCUGGCUCCACGGCAGCAGAACACUUCUCUGAGCGAUACCUCGAUACAAGUGUACAACAGGUUUACGACUAAGGCAAGACUCUUUCUCAGAAUCCAGAUUUGUCUGACCCUUCUAAUUAGACCCUCAGCCUGGCUUUUCUUCAUAUCUCUAACUGCUUUCUUCUGGUUGCAUCCCUGACCUAUGCCUUCUUACUCACACUCUCUGGGUGAGCCCUGGCUGUGGAAAUACAUUUCCUGGCUCCUGGCAGCUGGCUCAAAACUGACAGGAGCUCCUAUUUACAUUUUCAUAUCUAGCUGAGCUUCAAAGAUCCUGGACCUGAUCCCUAACUCCAGAACCAUUACCCCAAAUUACCCAAGUUUUUGAUGGUGACCUGAAAAGGAAAAGCCACAAGGAAACACACCCAGAGGAAGCAUGUUCAUAGGGGCAGUAAUGUCGGGAGCAGAGUUUUUCCUCAGCAACCAAGAGCUAUAGGAAAUCCAAGGAACUUUCAGCCCCUUGAGUAAAAGAGUAGAGUUCCUGUUGUGUGAUUAGUGAAUCCGACUAGGAACCAUGAGGUGGAGGCCUCGCUCCAGUAGGUUAAGAACCAACUAGAAUCCAUGAGGAUGUGGGUUUGAUCUCUGGCCUUGCUCCUUGGGUUAAGGAUCUGGCGUUGCUGUGACUCUGGCAUAGGUCAGCAGCUGCAGAUCCAAUCCAACCCCUAGCCUGGGAACCUCCAUAUACCUCUAUGCACAUUUUAAGGGAU
rnacentral:lncRNA from 1 species